rnacentral:rRNA from 1 species
UACAGAGGUCUCAAGCGUUGUUCGGAUUCAUUGGGCGUAAAGGGUGCGUAGGCGGCGCGGUAAGUCGGGUGUGAAAUCUCGGAGCUUAACUCCGAAACUGCAUUCGAUACUGCCGUGCUUGAGGACUGGAGAGGAGACUGGAAUUUACGGUGUAGCGGUGAAAUGCGUAGAGAUCGGGAAGAACAUCAGUGGCGAAGGCGGCCUGCUGGGCUGUUGCUGACGCUGAGGCGCGACAGCGUGGGGAGCAAACAGG